GACGAACGCUGGCGGCGUGCUUAACACAUGCAAGUCGAACGGAAAGGCCCUGCUUUGGGUGGUUGCGCGAGUGGCGAACGGGUGAGUAACACGUGAGUAACCUUUCCUUGACUUUGGGAUAACGUCAGGAAACGCGGGCUAAUACCGGAUAGGAUCUCCGCCUGCAUGGUGGGGGUUGGAAAGUUUCGGCGGUUGGGGAUGGACUCGCGGCUUACUAGUUUGUUGGUGGGGUAGUGGCUUACCAAGUCUUUGACGGGUAGCCGGCCUGAGAGGGUGACCGGCAAAAUUGGGACGGGGAUCCGGCCAAGCCUCCUCCGGGAGGAAGAAGUGGGGAAUAUUGCACAAUGGGCGGAAGCCUGAUGCAGCAAGGCCGCGUGCGGGAUGACGGCCUUCGGGUUGUAACCCGCUUUCGCAUGUGACGAAGCGUGAGUGACGGUAAUGGGUAAAGAAGCACCGGCUAACUACGUG
rnacentral:rRNA from 1 species